GUGGUAAUGCCGGAUGCUCCGGUUGGAUGCAUGUCCUUCCGGGAAAGGUUCCAUCGGUAUGGGAUGGGGUCGCGUCCUAUCAGCUUGAUGGCGGGGUAACGGCCCACCAUGGCUUCGACGGGUAGCCGGCCUGAGAGGGCGACCGGCCACAUUGGGACUGAGAUACGGCCCAGACUCCUACGGGAGGCAGCAGUGGGGAAUAUUGCACAAUGGGCGCAAGCCUGAUGCAGCGACGCCGCGUGCGGGAUGGAGGCCUUCGGGUUGUAAACCGCUUUUGAUCGGGAGCAAGCCCUUCGGGGUGAGUGUACCUUUCGAAUAAGCACCGGCUAACUACGUGCCAGCAGCCGCGGUAAUACGUAGGGUGCAAGCGUUAUCCGGAAUUAUUGGGCGUAAAGGGCUCGUAGGCGGUUCGUCGCGUCCGGUGUGAAAGCCCAUCGCUUAACGGUGGGUCUGCGCCGGGUACGGGCGGGCUGGAGUGCGGUAGGGGAGA
rnacentral:rRNA from 1 species